UACGAAGGGGGCUAGCGUUGCUCGGAAUCACUGGGCGUAAAGCGCACGUAGGCGGACUCUUAAGUCGGCGGUGAAAUCCUGGAGCUCAACUCCAGAACUGCCUUCGAUACUGAGAGUCUCGAGUCCGAGAGAGGUGAGUGGAACUGCGAGUGUAGAGGUGAAAUUCGUAGAUAUUCGCAAGAACACCAGUGGCGAAGGCGGCUCACUGGCGCGGUACUGACGCUGAGGUGCGAAAGCGUGGGGAGCAAACAGG
rnacentral:rRNA from 1 species